UACGUAGGGCGCAAGCGUUAUCCGGAAUUAUUGGGCGUAAAGAGCUCGUAGGCGGUUUGUCGCGUCUGCCGUGAAAGUCCGGGGCUCAACUCCGGAUCUGCGGUGGGUACGGGCAGACUAGAGUGAUGUAGGGGAGACUGGAAUUCCUGGUGUAGCGGUGAAAUGCGCAGAUAUCAGAAGGAACACCGAUGGCGAAGGCAGGUCUCUGGGCAUUAACUGACGCUGAGGAGCGAAAGCAUGGGGAGCGAACAGG
rnacentral:rRNA from 1 species